rnacentral:rRNA from 1 species
AGACGUCUACAUUAGAUACCCCUGUACGUCCCAGCCGUAAACGAUGCGCGUUAGGUGUAUCGACGACCACGAGUCGUCGAGGUGCCGAAGGGAAACCGUGAAACGUGCCGCCUGGGAAGUACGGUCGCAAGGCUGAAAACUUAAAAGGAAUUGGCGGGGAGCACCACAACAGGUGGAGCCUGCGGUUUAAUUGGACUCAACGCCGGAAAUCUCACCGGAUAAGACAGCAGAAUGAUUGCCGGGCUGAAGACUCUGCAUGACUAGCUG